AACGAACGCUGGCGGCAUGCCUAACACAUGCAAGUCGAACGAGACCUUCGGGUCUAGUGGCGCACGGGUGCGUAACGCAUGGGAACCUGCCCUUAGGUUCGGAAUAACUCCCCGAAAGGGGUGCUAAUACCGGAUAAUGUCUUCGGACCAAAGAUUUAUCGCCUUUGGAUGGGCCCGCGUUGGAUUAGCUAGUUGGUAGGGUAAAAGCCUACCAAGGCGACGAUCCAUAGCUGGUCUGAGAGGAUGAUCAGCCACACUGGGACUGAGACACGGCCCAGACUCCUACGGGAGGCAGCAGUGGGGAAUAUUGGACAAUGGGCGAAAGCCUGAUCCAGCAAUGCCGCGUGAGUGAUGAAGGCCUUAGGGUUGUAAAGCUCUUUUACCCGGGAUGAUAAUGACAGUACCGGGAGAAUAAGCUCUGGCUAACUCCGUG
rnacentral:rRNA from 1 species